rnacentral:tRNA from 2 species
GCUAGGUAAGCCCUUUGGCAAGGGCGAGGAUUUUUAAUCCUGAAAAUAGACGAGGUAGUCGUUGAAUACAUAGGUGGUUCGAUUCCAUCACCUAGCACCU